rnacentral:lncRNA from 1 species
GUAUUAGCUAUAAGUUCUUUCGGUCCGUUUUUAUGAUCCUCGACUUUGCGUAUUAGCUCUAAGUUCUUUCGGUCGUUUUUAUGAUCUCCGACUUUGCGUAUUAGCUCUAAGUUCUUUCGGUCCAUUUUGCGUAUUAGCUCUGAGUUAUUUCGGUCCGUUUUUAUGAUCCCCAACUUUGCGUAUUAGCUCUAAGUUCUUUCGGUCCGAUUUUAUGAUCCACAACUUUGCAUAUUAGCUCUAAGUUCUUUCGGUCUGUUUUUAUGAUCCCCGACUUUGCGUAUUAGCUCUAAGUUCUUUCGGUCGUUUU